UCCUGGCGMCUAUAGCGAUUUGGAACCACCUGAUACCAUCUCGAACUCAGAAGUGAAACAUUUCCGCGCCAAUGAUAGUGUGAGGCUUCCUC
rnacentral:rRNA from 1 species